GGAUGUUGGGGCGAUCUGGCUGGACAUCUGUCACCCCAUUGAUUGCCAGGGUUGACUUGGCUGAUCUGGCUGUCUAGGCAGGUGUCUCCUUCCUCCCUCACUGCUCCAUGUGCAUUCUUCCUGAAGCUGUGUGCUCGGUCGAAGAGCACAGCCUUCCCGGAAUAGAGAUGGACCGGUCUUCGGUUGAUCGAGGGUAUAUGAAUAGCUGCGCUCCCCUGUUAGAACCUCCAAACAAGCUCUCAAAAUUGAUUCUAAAAAACUAAAAUAUACCUCAAAUAAGAAUGCAGAGGUUAACACUAUUUUUA
rnacentral:snRNA from 1 species